GGUAGGGUGGCCGAGUGGUCUAAGGCGCUGGUUUAAGGCACCUGUCUCUACGGAGGCGCGGGUUCGAAUCCCGCCCCUGCCA
rnacentral:tRNA from 1 species